CCUACGGGUGGCAGCAGUGAGGAAUAUUGGGCAAUGGACGGAAGUCGGAACCAGCCAGGCCGCGGGCAGGAAGACGGCGCGAUGAGGUGUAAACUGCUUUUGUACAAGGGUAAACCUGAAUACGUGUAUUCAGCUGAAAGUACGGUACGAAUAAGGAUCGGCUAACUCCGUGCCAGCAGCCGCGGUAAUACGGAGGAUCCAAGCGUUAUCCGGAUUUAUUGGGUUUAAAGGGUGCGUAGGCGGAUUGAUAAGUUAGAGGUGAAAUGUCCGAGCUUAACUCGGGAACUGCCUCUAAUACUGUUGAUCUAUAGCGUAGCUGCGGUAGGCGGAAUGUUUGGUGUAGCGGUGCAAUGCUUAGAGCUCCUACAGAACCCCGAUUGCGAAGGCAGCUUACCAGUCUAUAUCUGACGUUGAGGCACGAAAGCGUGGGGAGCAAACAGGAUUAGAUACCCCUGUAGUC
rnacentral:rRNA from 1 species